rnacentral:rRNA from 1 species
UACGGAGGUUGCGAGCGUUGUUCGGAAUAACUGGGCGUAAAGGGAGCGCAGGCGGCUUGGUCAGUCUGGAGUGAAAGCCCGGGGCUUAACCCCGGAAGUGCUUUGGAUACUGCCAAGCUCGAGUACGUGAUAGGAGAGCGGAAUUCAGGGUGUAGCGGUGAAAUGCGUAGAUAUCCUGAGGAACACCGGUGGCGAAAGCGGCUCUCUGGUACGAAACUGACGCUGAGGCUCGAAAGCGUGGGGAU